AUAUACCCUGGGUUAGCGGCAGCGUAAGAUGGUGUUUAAGAAGAAAGGCUCUGCAAGACUCCGUCUCAAAAAAAGAAAAAUAAAAAAAAGAAGAAGAAAGGCUCUGGAGGCAGAUAUACUGCAGCCAGAUCCCGGCCCAAUAGCUGGAGGGCCAGAAGGUGGGGCGGUACCUCAGGAUAAUGGCAGCAGAAGGCAAAGGGAGCAGACAGCUGGCAAGCUCUGUCCCAAUAUGCUUCCCUGAAAGAGGCGAGGAAAUUUCAGAAGAUGCAAUGCCUGAAUGGCUCACUUUGCAGGAAAACAGAAGAACCAAGGAAUACAACAUGUUUAAGACCACAGAACAUCUGCAUAGGCUGUAAAUUUCGUUGAAUGAUGGAUGCAAAGAUGGAAGACAGAUGGAUAGAGGAAAAGACAGAAUCAGAUACUGGAUGAGUUAGUACUGCUGCCUGUGCUUCAGAGCUGUCUUAUUACCACAAGGCCGGCAAGCAUCAAUGUCCCCACAUCCCCCUCUGCCUCCCCCUGAAAUGUACCGAUUUAUAUGAAAAUUAAGAUUACAAAUUAAAGCCUGGCUAUCCUGGAGUUUUCCAGUUCAUCAGCCAUCCAAUAAAAAUGAUGUCAAGCCUGUAUGCAUAAUUCCCGGAAGAUUACUUUCGUCCUUACAGCUAAGCCCUGUCCCUGAUAUGAAAGAUCUCUAUCCACUUUUAUUGAAAUAAAGAACUAACAUCAUAAUCCCAAUAUUGAGGUAUAAUCUUCAUUAUC
rnacentral:lncRNA from 1 species